GCUUGAAAUGACUCAAUUUUCCUGCAAAACACAUUUUUUUUUCCAUGGUGCUGGGGAUCCAAUCCAGGGCUUUCAUAUGUGCUAAGCUAAUACUGCACACUCAGUUUCAUUUGUAGCACCACAAAACAUUCAUUAUUUAAGAGAGUCUCACUGUGCACCUAAGCUGACUUAGGAUUCCAUCUCUCCUCCCCAGCCUUCCAAAUGUCACAUACUUACAAGCUUAUGGUUAAAAGGUACUCAGAUACACAGGUGUCAGGGAAAUGUUUUCUGGCUAUCCAGUGGAAGAUAGAAUCUCAAUGGGAGAUUGAGUCAAGUAGAUCUUGAAUUUGAGGCCAGCCCAGAAAUUAAAAAGAAAAAAGAAAGAAAGAAAAAAGAAUAUAUGUUCUAGAACUGUACUUAGAAUAGUCCUAAUGUAAAUGCUGAAGGAAAACCUAUAAGGAGCCCGUGUGGGGUUGCUGUGUGUGAACGUGCAAGCUGAUUAUUCUUAUUAAAUUCUCAUUAUUUAGAACGAGAACGUCAGGAAGUGGUGAUGAGAACAACAAAACCACGUUCUUUUCAAGAUGGAGUUAAAUCUUAGAAGAAACUCAGUUGAAUCGCUUCCCUGUACCUCAGCAGCUGUGAGGUGGAGAGCUGAGCAUGGUGGCCCAAUGCCCUCCAUCCCUGCACUGGGAGGCAGAAGCAGGCAGAUCUCUCUGAGUUUGAGACUAGCCUGGUCUACAUAGCAAGUUCUAGGCCAACCAGGGCUACAUAGUAAGACCCUGCCUUAAAAAGAGAGAGAGAGAAAAGAGAAAAAAAAGUGAGUAGUGUAUUAGUUAAGGCUCUCUAUAGGAACAAAACUGAUAGAUGAGUCUACAUAUAUGAUGGGGAUUUAUUAGAAUGGCUUACAGGCUGUGGUCCAGCUCAUCCAACAAGGGCUUUCUACCAACAGAAAGCCUAAGAACCCAGUAGUUCAGUCUGUGAGGCUGGAUGUCUCAGCUGCUUUUCAGUACACCAGAAUCCUGAAGAAGUAUGCUCUAAUGCCAGUGAAGGAAUGACCUUGCCAGAGAGUUUCCUUCUUCCUUGUCCUUUAUACAGGCUGCCAGCAGACAGUGUGGCCCAGGUUAAAGGUGGGUCGUCUUCCCACUUCAAAUGAUUUAACUCAGAAAAGUCCCUCCCAGGUGAACACAGUUGCUUGAGCCUUAGUUAAUCCCAGAUGCAAUCAGAUUGACACCAACAAUAGCCACCACACGUCAGACCCUUGUCACCUUGACACAAAAUCACAUCUUCUGAGGUAGCGUGGGUGUGAUGAGGUGGAGCCUGGAGGAUAACAAGUUGGAGAUCAGCCUGGUCCAUAAGAUGCAUCAUUUCAAAAUAGGAAAAAUUAGGGCUGGAGAGGAGAGAUGGCUGAGUGUUUGAGAACACUCAUUGACUGUUCUAAGGGACCCAGCUUAAAUUUCCAGCACAUAUGGCAGCUCAAAUCUGUAACUCCAGUCCCAGGGUUCCAACACCCUCUGAGGGCACAUGGUGUACAGACCUGCAUGUAUGCAAAACACCCAUACACAUAUAAUAGUGAUACUU
rnacentral:lncRNA from 1 species